rnacentral:rRNA from 1 species
AAUAAGCGGAGGAAAAGAAACCAACCGGGAUUGCCUCAGUAACGGCGAGUGAAGCGGCAACAGCUCAAAUUUGAAAGCCCGCGGGCGUUGUAAUUUGCAGGCGGAUGUUUUGGGGCGGGCGCUGUCUACGUUCCUUGGAACAGGACGCCGCAGAGGGUGAGAGCCCCGUGCGAUGGCGCCUUUAACCGCGUAAAACUCCGCCGACGAGUCGAGUUGUUUGGGAAUGCAGCUCUAAGUGGGUGGUAAAUUCCAUCUAAAGCUAAAUACUGGCGAGAGACCGAUAGCGAACAAGUACAGUGAUGGAAAGAUGAAAAGCACUUUGAAAAGAGAGUGAAACAGCACGUGAAAUUGUUGAAAGGGAAGGGUAUGCGAUUAGCGGCCAGCAGGAGGUGCGUUCUCGCGAAAAGGCCGUGCACCGUCUUCGGACACCGUGCGCGGAGAUGGCGAGGGGGCGCCUGAGGUCUGCGACUCGA